rnacentral:rRNA from 1 species
CUUGAAACACACCCCCAUAAAUGGGUUUUGUGGGAUUGGGUGCUGUCGCACGCCAUAUUGAUUGACACGACUCUCGGCAAUGGAUAUCUCGGCUCUCGCAUCGAUGAAGAGCGCAGCGAAAUGCGAUAUGUGGUGCGAAUUGCAGAAUCCCGCGAACCAUCGAGUCUUUGAACGCAAGUUGCGCCUGAGGCCAAUCGGUUGAGGGCACGUCCGCCUGGGCGUCAAGCAUUUUAUCGCUCCGUGCCUAGUCUCCCAUCCAUGGAUGUGUUGCCAAGGCUCGGAUGUGCACGGUGGCUCGUCGUGCCCAUUGGUGCGGCGGGCUGAAGGUCGAGUCAUCUUCUCGUUGGUUGCCAACAAUAAGGGGUGGAUUAAAUAAGGCCUAUGUUAUUGUGUCAAGCGCGCCUGAGAGAUGGUCAUACUUUUUAGGUGAUCCCAGUUCAUGCGUCGAUCCAUGGAUGGCGU